GAUGAACGCUGGCGGCGUGCCUAAUACAUGCAAGUCGAGCGAACGGACGAGAAUCUUGCGUUUCUGAUUUUAGCGGCGGACGGGUGAGUAACACGUGGAUAACCUUCCUAUAAGACUGGGAUAACUUCGGGAAACCGGAUCUAAGACCGGAUAAUAUUUUGAACCGCAUGGUUCAAAAGGUAAAGACGGUCUUGCUGGCACUUAUAGAUGGAUCCGCGCUUCAUUAGAUAGUUGGUAAGGUAACGGCUUACCAAGGCAACGAGGCAUAGCCGACCUGGGAGAGUGAUAGGCCACACGGGAACUGAGACACGGUCCAUACUACUGCGGGAGGGACCAGAAGGGAACCUUCCGCAAUAGGCGAGAGCAUGACGGAGCAACGCGGAGUGAGAGAUGAAGGUCUUCGGAUCGUAAAACUCUGUUAUUAGGGAAGAACAUAUGUGUACGUAGCUGUGCACAUAUUGACGGUAAUUAAUCAGAAAGCAACGGCUAACUACGUG
rnacentral:rRNA from 1 species